GGCACGGCCAAGCCGCAGGAAACCCCACCGCCACAAUGGAGUUCUCGACCCGCGACGUCGGUGCGUGGAGUGAGUCGCUCUCUGCCUACGAUGGCCGCCUCGCCCUCCUCCGGAAGCCUGACCUCCUCCCCCUCGAUGCCUUCUACCGGGCAGAGCUCCCCGUCCUCCUCCGCCGCAGGGAACCCCGCCCCUUCCUCACCAAGCCGGAACUCCGCCGCCUCAUGCAGUGGAAGCUCUCCCGAGGCAAAUGGAGGCCUCGGUUGCUGGAUUACGUGUCGUCGCUGGACGAAGCGUCGGUGGACUCCGCCUCGCGGAGGGCGUUCGCGGCGCUCCCGGACCUCUCUAAGGCCGUCUCGGAGCUUACGGUGCUGAAGGGAGUCGGGCCGGCGACGGCGUCCGCUGUUUUAGCUGCCUACGCGCCGGAUGUCGCGCCUUUCAUGUCCGAUGAGGCUAUGAUGGCCGCGAUGGGGAACGUGAAAGAGUAUACUUUGAAGCAGUAUCUUGCAUUUGCCGAGAAGCUACAGACGAAGGCAAAGGAUUUAAGUGCUGAAGGGAUUAUUUUCACUCCUUCUGAUGUCGAGAGAGCUUUGUGGAGCUCGGCAGUAGGUUCCAAGUUGCUGAAGUCUCCACCAAAAGAUGAUUUAGAGGCUGGUGCCAGGAAAAGCAUUAAGAGGAAAAGAAAAUUUUGACUCGAGCUAAAGUAUCUUUCACUUGCUGUGGAGCAACUAGACAUAACUUCCAGUACACUUGUAAGCUGUAAUAUAUUGACAUCACCAACUUCGUCUCUUAGCUUUCAAUGUGAUGCUUGGGGUUAAUGAGAUGGAAUUUUCCCUGGACUUCAAAUGGUUCCAGGAUUUGGCAAUUGCUACCUGUUAACCAUGUCAGCUAGUUGGCUGUGAAGCCUUUGACUCCUUUUGGUGAUUAGAAGUGGAUAUAUAUACCUUGCGCCUGUUUAUGAGUGUGAAACAGAGACAGGAAAGCAUUCCAGCUGAACUGUUGGCUUGAGAUUACACUUGUAAUCAUCUCAUGUUGUUUUAUUGAUUUAGGUAUAGAUCAAUUUUAUAGUUAAUGAAGGAAAUGUAAACCUCUAUUUUGGAUAACUAAGAAAUCAGAAACCUUGUUUUCAAGUCCUUU